GGAUCAAUGAAGACUUCAAAAAUGGAUCUCAUUGGAAUCUGAACAAAAUGAGUGAAGAAAAAUCACUUGUGUGACUGAGGUCC